rnacentral:lncRNA from 1 species
ACAACAGCACUCCCUUGCUGUUCCCAGAGGCUGCUUCUUGCAGAUUGGAACUGUUUAUCUCUGUGUCCAGUUCAAUGUUCCCUCUUGUUCCCUUUCUCUUGGAUACACUUUCCUAGGCAGGACCCUGGUCUGAGCCCCUCCCCUGCUACAUAAAUGUGACUUGCAUUUCUAGCUCCCUUGGGUUGGUGGAAACAUGGUUGAAGGCAGUUCAGCAAAAGUAGAUGGAGCUUGGGUGGGUUGGUGGGCCAAGGGAAGCAGCUGGGGAAAGACCGAGGAGAGCAGGCUGGAGCGUACAAUUCUUGCUUCUCUUUUCCCCAUGUGCAGGUAUGGAAAUCAUGGGCUCCCAGAUUCGCAUGAGCAAUAUGCAAUGCUUUAGCAUCACCAGCGCCAACCAAGUCCUCCCCAGCAGCAGCCUACAGUACAUGGCAGACUACACUGUCCGUGCUCUCACUGACCUCCUGUACAUCAAGAUCACACGGAAUCAGUAUCAGAACUGUCUUAUGGCCUCACUGGCGGAAGUCAAUGCAGCUGCAAGUGUCAUCCCGCAGGCUGAGACUUCUGCUGACUAGAGUCAGUGCUCCAAAGUGUACCCCAGGCUUGAAUUGUCUAGAGUCAGUGCUCCGAAGUGUACCCCAGGCUUGAAUUGAAUUGAAUGAAUCUUUAUUUGCGUCAGCCAUCGGCCAUAGCAAUCUUUCUUUCUCUUUCUUUGGCUAUCACUCGUAGCCAAGUCAGAUCGUCUUCCAUAAACACGGUUUCAACAAUGAGUCCGUAAGUGACUGUGGAGGCCAAUUCUGGAUCCACACAUCUUUCCACAAUGGGGACAUUGGUUUCUGGGUGGGAGUUGAUCACGGUUGGAUUUGCCAAGCAUGCCUUCCUCUUAGCGUGUUUCUCCCUUGCGUCCUGAGUUUGAGUGUCUUCAAAGCCCAUGACACCUUUGGUAAAGGCUGUUCUCCAAUUGGAGCGUUUGCAGGCAAGUGUUUCCCAAUUGUUGGUGUUUAUACUACGUUUUUAAAGAUUUGCCUUGAUACAGUCAUUAAACCUCUUUUGUUGACCACUAGCAUUACGCUUUCCAUUUUUAAGAGUAGUUGCUUUGGAAGACCGAUAAUUAGGCAUCCGCACAACAUGACCAGUCCAACAAAGUUGAUGUUGAAGAAUCAUUGCUUCAACACUGGUGAUCUUUGCUUCUUGCAGUACACUGGUAUUAGUACGCCUUUUUCUCAAGUGAUGUGUACAAUUUUUCAGAGACACUGUAGAUGGAAUCUUUCGAGGAGCUGGAAAUGGCAUUUAUAAAUAGUCCAUGUUUCACAAGCAUACAGUAAGGUUGGUAGUGCAAUAGCUUUGUAAACAAGCAUUUUGGUUUCUCUGCGAAUGUCCUGAUCCUCAAACACUUUGCACUUCUAUUGGGAGAAAGCCUCACUCACAGAGCUCAGGCAAUGCUGGAUUUUGGCAUCAAUGGCGGCCCUUGUGGAAAGAUAACUGCCCAGGUAGUAGAAGUGAUUGACAUUUUCCAACAUUACACCCUUGAAUUGGAUAUGUGGUGCUGCAGAGGGGUUAUUUUGUACCUGUUGGUGCAGCACUUUGGUUUUUGGGAUGUUGAGCGAUAGGCCAAGCUUUUCAUAAGCUUCUGCAAAGAUAUUUAGGAUGGUUUGGAGGUAAUCCUGUGAGCGUGCACACACUACGUUGUCAUCAGCAUACUAAAGCUCUAUGACGGAAGUUAAGGUAACCUUACUCUUUGCUUUCAGCCUGCUCAGAUUGAAGAGCUUUCUGUCUGUUUGAUAUAUGAUUUCUACUCUGGUGGGGAGUUUCCCUUCGACAAAGUGUAGGAUCAUGGCAAUGAAAAUAAUGAAUUGAGUUGGGGCAAUAACACAACCCUGUUUAACACCUGAUCCCACUGUGAAUGGUUCACUUUGACAGCCAUUGUUAUCUGCGAUUGUUGCUGUCAUAUUAUCAUGGAGGAGCCGAAUGAUGUUCACAAAUUUCUCUGGGCAACCAAUUUUCAGAAGGACAGUCCACAGGGCAUUACGAUUUACAGUGUCAAAAGCCUUAGUUCGGUCAAUAAAUACAAGGAUUGUUUUUUCUCUCUGCAUUUUUCUUGAAUUGAAUGCAUCUUUAUUUGCGACAGCCAUCUGCCAUAGCAAUACAAAAACCAUGCGAUAUACAAAGAAUUAAAAUAAAAAGUCAAUGAUAUGACAUACAUUUUAGGGUUUUGAUUCAAUAGUCAAAUAGUGGAUCUUAUUCUAAUUGCCCCAGCUAAAAAACCUUGCAACCUUUGCUGUCACCUGCUCCUUUUGAUCAAUCUCAUUACAUUCAAACUGCUAGAGUCUUCAGGGAAGCUUCAGUCUGUGACCUCCUCACUGGGAAAGUCAUAACUGGUCGUGACCCUACAGAUAAGAACCAAAAAACCUUACAUUCCAAAUGUUGUAAACCUGUCAGCCAUGCCAGAAACCAAGAGCCAAACAUAGAACACUUUAAUCUGAGGGGGCAAUUAACUGACUUUAAAUCAACAACUGUGACACGUCAUCCUGGUGCACCCCAGGCUUUACUCAGUUCCUUCCUAAACAAGGACAAGAAGGGACACGGGUGCCAAAAGUGAGGACAGUUGUGUGUCAGUCCAGCAGGCCAUGUGGAGCUAAAUCCAAAUGAGAUGCCUGCUACCCCACCAUCAGUGUGAACCUCCCAACUUGUCACUUUCUGGUACUUUAUUUCUCUGAGAUGGUUUACAAUACAGUGGUACCUUGGUUUACAACCAUAAUCCGUUCUGGAGGUCCGUUUGUAAACCCAAACAGGUUGUAACCCAAGGCGCGCUUUCGCCAAUGGGGCCUCCCCCCAAAAAAUUGUUCGUAAUCCCCCCAAAAUGGGUUGUAAUCCAAAAAAAGUUUGCAAACUGGGACACGCACUUCCGGGUUUGAAAUGUUUGUCAUCCAUAAACGUAUGCAAACCAGACUGUUUGCAAACCAAGGUACCACUGUAAAUGCACCUCAAGGUGAGAAACCAACAAAAGAGGGACCUAUGGACUGUUGCCUUGCCUGCCAGCCUUUCUAUCCACUCUAUUUCUCUCUUUUUUUGCUGUUGAUUGUCCUCCUGUGAAUUGCUAUUAUCUGUUGGGAAAAACCUCCCACUGGAGCCAAUGGAAGUCUCUUCCUCCUCAUUUCUAAUAGCAGCAUAGCACAGGGAUGAGCGAAUCUGUCAAUUUCAUAGAAUCAUAGAAUCAUAGAGUUGGAAUAGACCACAAGGGCCAUCGAGUCCAACCCCCUGCCAGGCAGGAAACACCAUCAGAGCACUCCUGACAUAUGGUUGUCAAGCCUCUGCUUAAAGACCUCCAAAGAAGGAGAUUCCACCACACUCCUUGGCAGCAAAUUCCACUGUCGAACAGCUCUUACUGUCAGGAAGUUCUUCCUAAUGUUUAGGUGGAAUCUUCUUUCUUGUAGUUUGGAUCAAUUGCUCCGUGUCCGCUUCUCUGGAGCAGCAGAAAACAACCUUUCUCCCUCCUCUAUAUGACAUCCUUUUAUAUAUUUGAACAUGGCUAUCAUAUCACCCCUUAGCCAUAUCACCCCUUAACCUCCUCUUCUCCAGGUUUCCAUCUGUUCCUCAUUUUUCCAGUUUUAAGUUGAGUUCACC